CCCAUUUUCCGCAGGGAUCGUGUUCUCAGAGCCGCGCACCACACUGCAUCCUGGGAUUUGUAGUUUCUCCGGCGAGUCGGUCGGUGUUUGGUUGAGGCAGCAGCGCGUCCUGGGACUUGUAGUUUCUCACGCCGGCUCUUAAGAUUUGGGCGAUUUUAGAGCUUGUCCCUGCCUCUCGUUUUGGGGGUACGCCUGGAGGCCGGAGACUGCAGAGGAAAGAUCGAAAGGUGCGAGUGUGGUUUCGAAGCUGACAAGAUCGUGUUCUUUAGGAAGCAACAUCUGUCUUUUGUGUCCUUUUGUGAGAAAUUGCGGUGCGCGUUGAAGAGCAUCUCAACUGCUCGCGCAAUCGGCUGGCCUCAUUUCCUCCCUUCCCGGUACGGGUCACUGUUUUCCGAAAAAGCCUGCAACCAAGAAAUCAAGACCAGGCUGAAACUUGGAAGGGCAGCAGAGGAAGAAUUUGGAAAGACCACCAAUAGCCAAGAUGUGUGAUUAGAAUCCAAGCCUGAGAUCACCCACACCCUUGUAUUCCCAGUUCCUAUGUAUGGAUGUGAAGAUGGCUGACAGGAAAAAGGCUGAUAUGAAAUACGGUGUUGGAGGAGCGCUUGAUGGAUACCAUGAAUUGCCAGAAAGAUGAACAGGUAGAUCCUAGAGAAAAUUAACCCUGAAACAUUACUGGAGGCAAAUGACAAAACUGAACCUGUCUUAUUUUGGGCACAUCAUGAGAAGGCAGGGUUCUUUGAAAAAGAUAAUAAUGCUGGGAAAAUAGAAGGCUGCAGGAAAAGAGGAAGACCAGCUAUGAGAUGGAUUGGUUCCAUAAAAGAAGCCACAGGCUGACUCUGCAGGAGGUGAGCAGGGCUGUUGGGGACAGGACAUUGUGGAUGUCACUCUCAUGGGACCGACAGGAGCCAGAGCUGCCUCAGUGGCAGGUAACACACACUGUACAUAUGGGGUUCUGUACACUGUUUCCUUUCCAACUUAACAAACCUCAAAAACUCAAACGUCCGUAACCAAAACCUCCACAGCAUCAUUUAAAAUGUCAGUGUAGAAUUACAUUGCAUAAAUGCACCAUGAUUUACUUAUUUCCUUAAUACCGCCUGUUUACCUUCUUUCCAUUUUAAAUCACUUUAAGUAAUGCUGUGUUCAGUAUCUCUGCAGAAAUCUUUGGCCAUGUUUCUGAUUAUUUCUUUAGAAUAUGAACAUUUUAAAAGAUUUUGAUAAUCUGUUGACAAAUUUUUUUUUCUAGAAAGAUCCAGUAUAUGAUUUAAAUCAGUAAUGUAUAAAGAAGUAUGUAGGGUUCUUAUAAAUAUACUAGCUUUACCAAUAUUUUUUUCCAUCAUGCCAUUCUGAUCUUAAGCUCACCUUAAAGGAUGGGAAGGAUAUUGGUGAAUGGGGAGGAAAGACAGCUAAAAAACCAAAAAUUACAUACAGUAAUGAUGGCCAGUCUGAAAGUGACAGCCAUUUUCAAUUUUUCCAUCAGCCUCUAUUUUUAAGGGGAACCUCUGAGGUGAUAUGAACAAGGAAUCAAAGCUUCUUUCUUAAAUAGCAAAAAAAAAAAAAAAAAUUAAAUAUCAUUCAAGUAGUUUACAUUCAACAAAUGUCUCUAAAUUACUAGACUUGGGAAAUUUAUUUUAACAAUGCAUAACAAUUCCCUAUAAUUUUAUAGCACAGUCUUCAGAAUAUGAUUUCAUUUUAGCUAUUUAGAAACCUUGAGAAGUAGACCAAAUUUUUACUUACUGACUAUAUUUGUAGGAUGAAGCUAAGCUUAACAGGAGAUAAAAAUGCAGGUUUCCUCAGCAUAUUGUUCAAGUAAUGGAAGAGAAGGCUAUUAGACUGAGAUGACUCUGGUACUUGGUAGCCUAGUAGGGAAACCAAAACCUAAGCCAGAGUCAAUUCCUGUAAAUGCUUCAACAAGGAUAAGACCAACCACCAAUUAUAAACAGCCGACUAAGUUUUCCCAAAUAACGCAACUGCUCAACUUACGGCCAAUCAAAUAAUUGUUUGCUUUGCCUGUGCAUGUUGUCUGUAAAAGCCUUGCCUUUAGCUCUGGUCAGUUGAGCUUUCCUAGCCACUUCCAGUUUGGUACUGCCUGAUUUGAAUAAAUUUUUGCUCAAAUAAACUCAAAAUUCUUAAUA